rnacentral:rRNA from 1 species
CCUACGGGAGGCUGCAGUGAGGAAUAUUGGUCAAUGGGCGAGAGCCUGAACCAGCCAAGUCGCGUGAGGGAGUACUGCCCUAUGGGUUGUAAACCUCUUUUGUCGGGGAGCACAAGCCGGACGUGUCCGGCUGUGAGAGUACCCGAAGAAAAAGCAUCGGCUAACUCCGUGCCAGCAGCCGCGGUACUACGGAGGAUGCGAGCGUUAUCCGGAUUUAUUGGGGUUAACGGGUGCGCAGGCGGCUUUUUAAGUCAGCGGUCAAAUCGUGGGGCUCAACCCCAUCCAGCCGGUGAAACUGGGGAUCUAGAGUGUGCGAGAGGUAUGCGGAAUGCGUGGUGUAGCGGUGAAAUGCAUAGAUAUCACGCAGAACCCCGAUUGCGAAGGCAGCAUACCGGUGCACAACUGACGCUCAGGCACGAAAGCGUGGGUAUCGAACAGGAUUAGAUACCCUUGUAGUC